CAGCCGCCACGAGAAAACGAAGGGUGCAAGCGUUAAUCGGAAUUACUGGGCGUAAAGCGUGCGUAGGCGGUGAGUUAAGUCUGCUGUGAAAUCCCCGGGCUCAACCUGGGAAUGGCAGUGGAUACUGGCUCGCUAGAGUGUGUCAGAGGAUGGUGGAAUUCCCGGUGUAGCGGUGAAAUGCGUAGAGAUCGGGAGGAACAUCAGUGGCGAAGGCGGCCAUCUGGGACAACACUGACGCUGAGGCACGAAAGCGUGGGGAGCAAACAGGAUUAGAUACCCGCGUAGUCCCUGUCUCUUAUAC
rnacentral:rRNA from 1 species